GUCACAGUGCGGGCCGACGCACCCAAGACCCAAUGAUCAGCGGACGUUCGGAGCGCGGAUUUGGGAACGACGGGGCUGUUUGGUUGACACCCUCAAAUUGAUAGGUCAAUCCCUCAAAUUUCGCCUAACCCAUCUCGCGAGAGGGAGGCGACGGCGGCGCGCGAGGACCUGGGGUGCACUCGAUUGUGCUUGGUCAUAGCGGUCGCGAGAGGAAGGGGCGAUCGUGAGGACCUGGGAGGCGGCGGCGCAGGCGCGAGGAGCUGGCCGAAGACGCCGGUGCGAGGCCCCGGGCUUUGUCAUAGUGGUCACUCCCCCCACGACCUCGCCGACACUGGCGCGAGGUCCUGAAAGCGAACCCCUGGCUGGGCUUGGCGUAGUGGUCAACCAACGGAGCAAGAACUAUCGGACACUUAUAGAAUCCACAUAUGAAGAUAAGGAAAAAGGAGACGUUUAGGUGUUGUUCAAGAAAAAGUUCUCUCACGUCACUUUUAGCACAAGAGAAGAUAGAGUCCAAGUCUCUCACGUUCUGGACUCAGAUUCAGACUGCACAAACAUACCUGACUCAAAACGUCAAUAUCUCUUCUAUCCGGACUCCGACUUGGGUGAUUCUGUUUUUGUUGAAAAGUAGAUUUUGUGCACUUUCCAACCCAAUUGGAUUCACCUUCAAAUUCGUUCGGAGCAUUGAGAUAUUGAUGAAACAAUAUGACGCUGCAAUAGAAUCCGACUCAAACUACAAGUCCAAAGGUGUUGCAUCACCUCUAUUUGGGCCCAUGAGCCCUACACUACCUAGGUUUAGUUUUAGGCCGCCUUGGGACGUCCUCCCACCUCCUUGGCCGCCACCCCUUGCUCCUAUAUAAGUAGGUCCAUCUAGUAGCUUUUUCCUUGGGAUUUGUUUAGUUAAAAGUUAGCCAUUGCAACUUCAUGUACUUCGAUUGUGUCCAACGAGCAGACCAAGACCGUUUUUGGAUCCCCACCUUUAUAAAUACUUCACCUAUAUUUGCAAUA